UUUUAGAACUGGUUCAGUUUAUCCUUUAAGAAUAUUAUAGAAAUAAAGAAAUGAUAUGUUUAGUUGAAAAUGAAAGCCAGUGGUCCUUUUAUAAAUCUUUGGAGUAUCUCUGUUUGUACAUUUUCUGUAUGUCUGAAAAUGACAAUUAUUAAUAUCAGAGCAAAUUUAAACGAUGCUUUAUGUUCUCUGUCAGAGUAUGAACCAGCAUAACGACUUUGGUUAUGAUUAUCUGCAGUGGAUUGACCCCAGCAAGCAACUAAGCAUCCACCAGCUGCAAGUUCACAGCUCUCCAGGCACAACUGACCCACAAGAGAAAAAUCCCUCCCGUUAAUGCUAUUGCAGGUGGAGUCAUUUCUGAGAGAAGGAACCAGAGACUCCUCAGACUGACAUCUCCAGUUUCAUGAGUGCUUUUCAGUCUGUGCCUCUGUAUAAUGACUUAAUCAUUAAAUUAUCCUCAUUUUCUUGGUGAUCAAAAUGGUUUGGAAAGCAGUAUAGGCGAUAUAAUACAGGGUGAUUUUCAAUGCUUAUGACAUUUAUUAAUUUGUAAAACAAAUGAUGCAUCUCUUAUAGCUUUGAAUCUCUUCAUUCAUCAGCUCAAUGAUUAAAGUUUGUGUCAAUUCUACUGUGGUAAACAGCCAAAUCAAAUCUUUUAUACUGGAACAAACAAGGCAACUUUUGUCCUUGCCUGAAGGACAAUGUCAUUGCCCUGAGCUUACAUCUAUCAUUACCAUCAAUUAAUUAGAAUGAAGAAAAGCUUUACAUGCCCUCGAUUUAUCAUUCAGGACUUCUUGAAGCAUUAAUACAACUGCCAAUCAUUUAAACCCUUCAAAAAUAUCUAUAAAAUUGUAUUAAAAGUAUAUUUUCAGUAGGGGUCAACAAGAGGAGGUAGAGAGUGCGUUUUGUGUGUUGAUAUUUGACAUUUAUCUCAAAAAUUCUUUCUUAGGCUUCUUCUAAUCUCAUGUUCUCUGUUGAAAUCAUGUCAUCCUUCUCCUGGUGAGGCAGUGCUCUGCUGCUUGAAUUACAGAUAUUCCUAAAAAAUUUGGAUAAACUAAGAAGUAAAAACAUAAUGAUACAUUUUCUAAAUGAAC
rnacentral:lncRNA from 1 species